rnacentral:rRNA from 1 species
GAUGAACGCUGGCGGCGUGCCUAAUACAUGCAAGUCGAGCGAACAGACGAGGAGCUUGCUCCUCUGACGUUAGCGGCGGACGGGUGAGUAACACGUGGAUAACCUACCUAUAAGACUGGGAUAACUUCGGGAAACCGGAGCUAAUACCGGAUAAUAUAUUGAACCGCAUGGUUCAAUAGUGAAAGACGGUUUUGCUGUCACUUAUAGAUGGAUCCGCGCCGCAUUAGCUAGUUGGUAAGGUAACGGCUUACCAAGGCAACGAUGCGUAGCCGACCUGAGAGGGUGAUCGGCCACAAUGGAACUGAGACACGGUCCAGACUCCUAAGGGAGGCAGCAGUAGGGAAUCUUCCGCAAUGGGCGAAAGCCUGACGGAGCAACGGCGCGUGAGUGAUGAAGGUCUUCGGAUCGUAAAACUCUGUUAAUAGGGAAGAACAAAUGUGUAAGUAACUAUGCACGUCUUGACGGUACCUAAUCAGAAAGCCAAGGCUAACUACGUG